AUGGCUUCUCAGAGGUGUAGCUAAAAUCAAGUGUAGUAUCAGUUCUUAUCAGGUUAAUAUCUGAUACAUCCUCAACUUGUGGACAAUAUAUUAAGUGGAUUUUUAGAGCAGGUAGAUGGAAUAGGAGCUUGCUUCAUCCACUCCAUGUGUAGACCUGGUAUUGCAGUACCUUCAGGAAUGGUGCACCAAAA